rnacentral:rRNA from 1 species
AAGGCGAGGCCGAAAGGCGUAGUCGAUGGGAAACGGGUUAAUAUUCCCGUACUUGGUGUUACUGCGAAGGGGGGACGGAGAAGGCUAUGUUGGCCGGGCGACGGUUGUCCCGGUUUAAGCGUGUAGGCUGGUUUUCCAGGCAAAUCCGGAAAAUCAAGGCUGAGGCGUGACGACGAGGCACUACGGUGCUGAAGCAACAAAUGCCCUGCUUCCAGGAAAAGCCU